GGGGUGUCAUGAGAAGACCCUUUUCCCUGUAGAACACUUGUGAGUCUUGAAAGGUUCAAGAUGUAACUUUUCCCAUCAUCCUGUGCUUCUCUUCUAGAUGUCAGCCAGGAAGAAUCUCCCUCCCUAAUAGCAGGAAAUCCACAAGGACCAUCCCCACAAGGAGGCAACAAGCCCCAGGGCCCCCCACCUCCUCCAGGAAAGCCACAAGGACCACCCCCACAAGGAGGCAACAAACCUCAAGGUCCCCCACCUCCAGGAAAGCCACAAGGACCACCCCCACAAGGGGACAAGUCCCGAAGUCCCCGAUCUCCUCCAGGAAAACCACAAGGACCACCCCCACAAGGAGGCAACCAGCCCCAAGGUCCCCCACCUCCUCCAGGAAAGCCACAAGGACCACCCCCACAAGGAGGCAACAAACCUCAAGGUCCCCCACCUCCAGGAAAGCCACAAGGACCACCCGCACAAGGAGGCAGCAAGUCCCAAAGUGCCCGAUCUCCUCCAGGAAAGCCACAAGGACCACCCCAACAAGAAGGCAACAAUCCUCAAGGUCCCCCACCUCCAGCAGGAGGCAAUCCCCAGCAGCCUCAGGCACCUCCUGCUGGACAGCCCCAGGGACCACCACGCCCUCCUCAAGGGGGCAGACCUUCCAGACCUCCCCAGUGACAGCCUCCCCAGUCAUCUAGGAUUCAAUGACAGGAAGUGAAUAAGAAGAUGAGAGUGAUUCAAAUGAUUCAAAUUCCAUGACAUUGGAAAAAGGUCAUCAUAGCUCUAACUUCAAUAUACCAAUAAAAUAAUCAGCUUGCAAUUUC
rnacentral:lncRNA from 1 species